UACAACAUAGCGUUAAUACACCAGAUCCCAUUAAAACUAUGCAGUUAAUCACGUUCAUGCUAGAGUAGUACUGGGAUGGGUGACCGCCUGGGAAGUCCUACUGUUUUAC
rnacentral:rRNA from 1 species